rnacentral:rRNA from 1 species
UACGUAGGGGGCAAGCGUUGUCCGGAAUCAUUGGGCGUAAAGCGCGUGUAGGCGGCUCGAUAAGUCUGCUGUGAAAGUCCAAGGCUCAACCUUGGGAUGCCGGUGGAUACUGUCGAGCUCGAGUCCGGAAGAGGAGUGUGGAAUUCCUGGUGUAGCGGUGAAAUGCGCAGAUAUCAGGAAGAACACCCGUGGCUAAGGCGGCUCUCUAGUACGGUACUGACGCUGAGACGCGAAAGCGUGGGGAGCGAUCCGG